AGUAGACCUCUCUGUCGUUCUCUCUGUGCUUUGCUGGAGCUCUUACAUAACGUAACUCACCGUCCAAAAUGUGGGUAGGUCGUCCAGCGCUCAUCCAGCCAGCGGAGCGCAUGCGCGCGUCUUUUUGCUGUCGCUCUCUGUCUCUACACGCCCCCCUCCCAUCUUCCAUCCCAGUCCGCCUAUAGGUUCGGCGCAAAGGUAAAAGGAGGAAAAUAGGAGGCUUUAUAGACAUCCACUUUGCUCUCUCUGCCUUGCUGCCUGUUUCACUCCUUUCAGUCUUUUUGAGUUUUUCCAGCAGCGCGCCGAAAAUGCCAAGCAAGAGGAAGAAGAACAAGCGUCGCAUGAGGAGGGUGCAAGCCCAGAGGAGAGCACUUGAGGAUCAACAUGCAGCCAAUCCACCAAUCAAAUCCAGCUCAGGGAUUGCCAUUAGUGCGCCCCCUACAGCAACUCCCAAAAAAGCAGCUAAAAUUUCACCACCCACUCGAGAAAAGCCCCCACAGGUCAUUCCCAUUUCUGCCCCUGCAGUGGAACCUCCAAAAUUUGAACCACAGCCUGUUGUGAAAGAAGAAGCAGCAGAGGCCUUUGUGGUUGAGGUAGCCGCAGCAGAUGAUGGUGUGCUGUUGGAGCAGGCUACUGUGGAGCCGGAAUCCAGAGUGGGGGAUGAAGUUGAAGGUCCAGCACGUGUCGCCAAAGAAGCAGCAGUUGAAAGUAUUCCUCCAGCGGAACCCUCUACGGUUGAAGCUAAAGAGGCGAAAGAGGCUGAGGUUCCUGUUUCUGAAACAGAGCCUGUCUCUGAGACAGAAGACAAUGAAGACACACAGACAGAGAUGGGUCAGACACAAGAUGUCUGCGAGGCAGACUCUGAGAUAGAUGUGACCCUGACAGAAGAAGACACUGAGACCAAGGAGGAACUAGAAGUGUCCAUCACUGAAGAAGUAACCAUAUCAGAGUCGGUAAAGGAACAAGCAGAAGAACCAGUGAUAGAAGAUCUUACCAGUGACCAAAGUCCUGCUGACGUAGAACAUGCUGCAGAAAAAACUGAAUCUGAUACUGGAUCAGAGGUGGACGUUGUCAUAGAAACACUUGAGCCUGCAGAGCCACCUGAGGAUGGGGAGGAAAAACUGGAAGACUCAGCUGCACUCAGAGUCCAGACUGUUGCAGCCAUAGAGGAUGCUCUUGGCCCACCUGUGGAAAUCCCAGCAGUACUAAAUACAAUCACUGAAGCUCCUCUGGAUGAAGCUGACCCGCCUGUUGUUGAACAUACAGAGGGAACGGCCGACCUGCUACUCCAACAAUCAGCUGUUACUGAAUCUGUGUCAACAGCGAAGGAUGUUUCAACAUCUGCUGUUGUGCAGCAGGAAGCUGAUGGAACUGGGGACACUUUUAUCACCCAAACAGAAGCUACUCCUGCAGAUCCAGAAACAGAGUCUGCUGCUCCUGCAGGGGAGAUUAUUGCUGCCAACCAAAAGUGUCUGGAUGUGUUGUCAGAAGAAGAGAAAUCUGGAGGCUGUGAUGUUCCAUGUCAGGGACAGCUUCCUGUUGAGGCUGUGCAGCUUGGUGGAGUGGAGCUUUCAGUGGAAAUAACACAGAAUGGAAACAUUGUUCCUGAGGUCUCCAUUGAGGGUUAAAGCCAAGGCACACAGCUCUGAAGACCUUUUUCUAUGUGUAAGACUCUAAAAAUUCCUGUUGGAGGACUCAAAGCUUUCCAGGGAGUCAACCAGACCUUUUCAUUUUUUAAGGCUUAAGGCAGAACAGGCAGGAAAUCGAAGUGGGCAUCCACACUUUGAAGUGCCUUUUCCUGUCCUGUACUCUGCUGAAACAUCAAACCAGAUGUGAACAUGCAGAAACGGCUUCUCUCACGACAGCAGCUGAGACCUAUGAAAAAAGCAUCUUUGGUUCUUUUAAAUACUUUGCUAUGCAACAAAGUCACGUAUAAUGACUAUAGUAGUUCAGGAGAAGAUGCUGAAGGCAUGACAAUCAGCAACAGAAAUAUUUUUGCAUCUUCUGUCUCCCAGAAUAUCUUUCUCCACAGUGCAUAGACUUUAUGCAUAUCAGUAGACUUGUAGCAUUGAUAAUUGGGUCUGUAGUUUGUUUAUUGGACAUAGAUGUGUUGUUUUUGUGCUGUUUUUUUGAAAGUCACUCGUUUAGCUCACCACUGUCUUUUCAAAACAUAAACCUUCCAAUAAAAUUAAAACUGGGGUAACUUUUAUUAAAAACAUAUUUUUUACAUAUUUGUCUCAUUCUAUAUUGCUACUACAGUAUAGAAUGAGACAGUUUGUGAAAAAAACAUGUUUUAACAUUACUAUAGUCAUGUUUCAUGACUGCUUUACCAAGGAUUUGGUGAAGCACCCCCUCCCACCUCAAUUUUUUUUGCAGUUGUUUACAGCAGUUUUGUAUAAACAACUCCCAAAUGUGAACUAAGUCAGUGAUUUAAAGCAAAACUUCACCUUGGUGUAGGUCACUAUUGAACUAGCCGUUUAGCUUUAGCUGGGAGAGCAACUAAUUUGGGUUUACACUAAACAAAGAUGGCAAAAGAAUCGUCUUCUUUGGCCAAUUCAUUUGCUCCUCAUAUCCUUUAACAGAACCAUACUUCAAAACUUCACAAAUCCAUUUCCUUUUCUGUCUACCAUUGUUCACUGUCUUGACAAAGUGCCACUGUUGUUACAAAGCUACAUUGUAAAGAGCAAGCUUUGAUAUUGAACAGAAUAUUGAAUAUCAAAAUGAAUUUUGCAAUUCAUUUUGUAUACACAGAGUAAUGCAUAUGAUUGUGUUGAAAUUGGUACAUUAUGAGUUAUUGUUUUGCUGUCUUGACCUGUGAAAUAAAGUUAUAACUCAGA